rnacentral:rRNA from 1 species
GCUUAACGGAAAAGGGGCCACUUCUAAGGAGGAAGAACUGGCCCGGUGAACCAAACCCUGAAGGGAAAGGGUGGGGGAUGACGUCAAGUCCUCAUGGCCCUUAUGGGUAGGGCUUCCACACGUCAUACAAUGGUGCAUACAGAGGGUUGCCAAUCCGCGAGGUGGAGCUAAUCCCAGAAAAUGCAUCGUAGUCCGGAUCGUAGUCUGCAACUAGAAUACGUGAAGCUGGAAUCGCUAGUAAUCGCGGAUCAGCAUGCCGCGGUGAAUACGUUUCCCGGGUCUUGUACACCCCGCCCGUGAAUCACUA